rnacentral:lncRNA from 1 species
GACAAAUUCUACUAUUUCAAUUUUCACCAACUCAAAUCAAAUCCAUCAUUUUAUUUACUAAUUCAGUUUGCACCUAUAGAAAACUUAUAUAAAUUGACUAACGAUUCGAAGUGAUAAAUUGUCUAAUUUUUACUAUUUUCAAUUUCCGCCAACUUUAAAUCAAAUUCAUCAUUUAUUUACUAAUUCAAUUUGCACCUGUAACACCCCGCAUCCAAAACUGCUUAUAUAGCCCAACUUUGCAUGUAUGCGUAGCACUUCGCUUACACUUUCGUUGUCGCUUCAUGUAAUUAUUUAUGUUAUGGAUUUUACUAUUUCAAUUUUUGCCAACUUUAAAUCAAAUCCAUCAUUUAUAUUUACUAAUUCAGUUUGCACCUUUAACACCCCCACGUCCAAAACUGCUUAUAUGGUACGUGUAGCACCUCGCUUACACUUUCGUUCUCACUUCAUGUUAAAGGGUUAACUCGAAGGUGCUAUGUUUGGAACGACAAGGUUUAUAAGCUUACCCUAACCAUCCUAAACUUUUAAGGUGAUACUAAACCUACCAACCACAACCACAUAUGAGCUACUUGAGCCACAUAUAUAGCCAACUUCUACUACAGGCUACUAUAGGUUGAGGUGUUACGACACCCUAAUUUACAUUUUUUCCAUAUGAAUAGAAGUCAGUCGAAAUCUCAUCUUUACCAAAGAAGAGCUUAGCAAUAGCAGCAGAGAGUUCAAGUUGUUGCGGGCCCAAUAUAAAAAAAACUAUUACAACCCCAUCUGUUCUAUGUAUAGACGUGAUUUGCUUGUAGUUGUCCCCUCUAGAAAACAUUUUAUUUAAAUUUCUAUCAAUUUUAAAUGGUAUAUUCGUUUUUAAUUCCGUUUGCAUAUGUUUUACGUGACAAAGCGAAUAAAAGACUCCACUUCUCUAUAUUUCGAAUAAUUUUAUUUUAAUGGCAAUUUAUAUGUAAAAAUAUGCUAGGAGAUUUAUAAAAUAAGUUGCUACCAUGUAAUACUAAACUUGCUACUCCAUAAAUAAACUAAUGUUUUUACAUAGUAUGCACAUCGAUUGUUAUCAUGGGAAUAUAACAAAGUUGUUAUAUAGUUUUUACAUAAAGAUACUCCCCUAAAGAGAGCAGCAGACUAAAACAAAGACAUAGUGCAACCUGGAGGGAUAAAUUAUUAAAAUAAACAUUGCAGAAAGUUAUUAUACAACAUAUUAUAAAAAGCCAGGAAACAUGAUUUGCUACCAAUUGGGUGCACUUAUUAAAAAACGAGGGUAACAGCAUAAAAUAAGACAAGCUGCAACCUGAGGGCAAAUAAUUAGAACAAGCAUUACAUAAGAUGUCAACAAGAGGGACAAGUUAUUAUAUAACGCACUAUGAGCCAGGAAACAACACUAGAUGACAUUAUAUAAUCCACUAUAUAAGUAGGAAACAUCACUAGAUGACAAUUAGAGGGACAUUUAUUAAAAAGACAAGAAUAACGACCUAAAAUAAGAAAAGUUGCACCCUGAGGAGCAAAUUAUUAGAAGCAUUGCGUAAGAUGCCAACUUAGAGGAUACGUUGUUAUACAACCUAUCUGUAGAAUUUAGGAAUAUAUUCAAACCUAAAAUGAUGACUGAAAACUAAAAAAAAUUAAAAACUAGACUAAAAAUAAAACUAACUAAAAAAAUUGACAAAAAACUGAAAAUAAAAAAACAUUAAAAAAACUCAUGAAACUAAAUGAAACAAUGAAAAACCAGAAAUUGAAACGAAAAAGAGAAUAAAAGUAACACAGAAAUUGAAAUAAUGAAACUCAAUGUGGGCUACGUUCUCUGCAGGGGCAGAUCCAAAAGGGGGGCUGGGUGGGCUCCAGCCCCCCUAUAAGUAUGAUUUGUUCAUUAAAUUAGAGUUAAUUAGCCUUAAAUUUUUAUUGAUCUCUAGUUUAAGUUCUAUGUAUUUACUAUUUAGCCGCCUCUUGCUCUCCAUCCUGGAUCCGCCACUGGUUGUCUGCCUCUCGCGACCGCAUGCACGGUAACUUUUGCGUUUCACGAUACUGUUGAAUAUAAUGGGCCAUUAGCCUAUAAUUAUAUUUGAUGAUUAAUUCAAGGGCCCAUAAUUAAUGCUAUAAUGAAAAUGGUUUAGUACCAUAUUGAUGAUUGACCAUGUGUUAACUCAACUUAAAUAGGUGGCCUUUAUUAGCUCCUAUGGAGAAGUUGAGGGAGGGUGAAGGGGUGCCACACGCGCGCGCCGCCGCCGAGCCGAGCCGUGUCCCUUGUCUUGUCAUGUCAUGUCAUGUCUUGUCGAGCGAGCGUGACGUGGCACACGAGGACCAGACCAGACCAGACGUGACGUGGCGAGCGUGACGUGGCACACGAGGACCAGACAUGACGUGGCACAUGCGUGGUGAAUAAGAAAAGGAAGGAAAACGGGAUCUGACCGUUGUGCAAUUAAUGGCAAUUAAUUGCUAAUUGAUUGACUCGUUAAUGGCAAUUAAUUGUGAUUGAUUGCCAUUAACCAGACGUUUCCUCCUGGGGCCUAUAUAUUCCAUACACAGAGACACCUUCCAUACCUGCGAGAACACAUUCAGUCUUCUCUCUUCCUGUCGAGUUGCUCUCUGUCCAUUCCCGUCCCAGAGAUCGGGAGAGCAGGCCUCCGGAACCCGACGCCUUGUAUCAAGACACCUGCUCGGGUGUUGCGGGCAAUCAGGUUUUUGGGGAGCGUCUUCCACGACUGCUCACCGGCGAGAUCGUCUUCUUCCACUCCAGCGGGUCUUCUUCCUGGUGGACGUUCGCGCGGAUCGAGAUCGACUACUUCGUCUUCUUCCUAGUGGACGUUCGCGGGACUGCACUGCGAACAUCUUCCUGCAUCGACUGUGGUCCGCUACUUCACGCAACGCACUAUGUCGACUAGUGCGAAUGGAGCCGCCGGUGCCUUCGGCACUAGUCCCUCCUCUGGGUACAAUCUCAAACGAUUGUUUUUCACUUUCAGUAUGUCUGAUGUUGUUGCAGUAGUAUUUGCAAUGUUUAUCUCUAAUCUGAGUAGUGAUAAAAUUGCACACGUGCGCAUAUAUGCCACCAUAAUAUUAUGCGUAAUUUUCUAGAUUAAAUCAAACAUUAAAAUGUCUAAAUUUCUAACAAUCCAAAAGCCUGAUAUUAGGCAUUUUUCUGUUAGUGGUUUUGCUGCUGCGUUAAAACCGGAUAUGUUUGAUGGUUGAAACUAUAAGCGGUGGCGCGCGAGAAUGAUAUUGUGGUUAACUGCUAUGAGUUGCUAUCACGCCGCGGAGGGGAAGCCGGAACAGUUUACUCCUGAGGAGGAGAAAACGUUCAUGGCUGCUGAUAACCUCUUCAGAGGCGCCGUGAUUAGUGCGCUCGAUAAAAAGUACGUUGACAACUAUAUCAUUUGCACCACUGCUAAGAAAUUAUGGGAUGCGCUUGAGGCCAAGUUCGAGGUUUCUGAUGCUGGUAGCGAGCUGUACCUCAUGGAACAAUUGUUUGAUUACAAGAUGGUUGAUAGGCACAUGAGAUACAGGCACUAGCUAAGAAACUAGAACAAUUUUCUUGUGUGUUACCUGAAAAGUUUGUGGCCGGCGGUAUAAUCGCGAAGUUGCCACCUUCUUGGAAGGAUUUUGCUACUUCUCUAAAACAUCAGAGGAAAGAGUUUGGUCUUGCCGAACUCAUGGGAACUCUUGAUGUUGAGGAGAAGGCGAGGGCAAAAGAUACACAUAGAAAAGGCGUUGAGUCUUCUAGUGCCAAUGUGGUGCAGAAGAAAAAACAAUUCGCAUUCCGUAAUAAGAAAAAGAACAAGCAAGAGAACAAGCAAGGAGCAAAUCCAAAGCCAAAGCAAACUGCGACUUUUAAGAAGAAAAAGGCAGAUGGAGGCUGCUUUGUUUGCGGUAGCGAUGACCACUGGGCGAGUGGCUGUCCAGACCGUAAAUUUAAACAAGAAGAGAAAAAGUCAGUAAACAUGGUCAUUGGCGAGGCUGAAGGAGGAACAUCUGGGUAUGGUAAUUAUUUACCUGCUGUUCUUUCAGUCUGUCAUUCACCUGAGUGGUGGAUGGAUACUGGGGCUAAUGUUCAUGUGUGUGCUGACAUCUCUUUGUUUUUUUCUUAUCAGGCCGGCAACACUAGAGCCUCACUGAUGGGGAACGGCUCUCAUGCGCGUGUUCUUGGUGUUGGUACGGUCAUUCUGAAGUUCACUUCGGGAAAGACGGUGCUGAUGAAGAAUAUGCAGCAUGUCCCCUCCAUCAAAAAGAAUCUAGUUAGCGGCUCACAGCUUUGUAGAGAUGGCUACAAAAUAGUCUUUGAGGCCAAUAAAGUUAUACUUUCAAAGUUUGGAACUUUUAUUGGUAAAGGUUAUGAUUGCGGAGGCUUGUUCCGCUUAUCCAUGCAUGAUGUGUGUAAUAAAAUCGUGAACCAUACUGUGAUUUCGAAUGAGUCGAAUAUUUGGCAUUUGCGAUUUUGUCAUGUUAAUUAUGGUUGUUUAACGCGGCUAGCAAAUAUGAAUUUAAUCUCGAAAUUUAAUUUAGUCAAAGGUUCUAAGUGCCAUGUAUGUGUGCAAUCCAAGCAACCUCGCAAGCCUCACAAGGCUGCGGAGGCGAGGAACUUGGCACCAUUAGAUUUAAUCCAUUCCGAUCUAUGCGAGAUGAAUGGUGAGUUGACUAAAGGUGGUAAACGAUACUUCAUUACUUUUAUAGACUAUUGUACUAGAUUUUGUCACGUGUACUUGCUUAAAACAAAGGAUGAAGCAUUACAAUAUUUUAAAGCCUAUAAAGCUAAAGUAGAAAAUCAACUUGAGAGGAAAAUUAAACGCUUAAGGUCCGAUCGUGGUGGAGAAUAUUUUUCAAGUGAUUUUUUCUGACUUCUGCGUAGAACAUGGAAUUCUUCAUGAGAGGACACCGCCAUACUCACCACAGUCGAAUGGGAUUGCCGAAAGAAAGAACCGUACUCUAACUGAGAUGGUUAACGCCAUGUUAGAGACUUCGGGUCUAUCUAAGGAAUGGUGGGGUGAGGCGAUAUUGACAGCGAGUCAUGUCCUGAAUAGAGUUCCUACAAAGAAUAAAGAAAUCACACCAUUUGAGAAAUGGGAAAAGAAAAGAGUAAAUGUCUCCUAUUUGCGUACUUGGGGUUGUUUGGCUAAAGUGAAUGUGCCAAUAAACAAGAAACGCAAACUCAGACCUAAGACAGUUGACUGUAUUUUCCUUGGUUAUGCUACUCACAGCAUAGGGUAUAAGUUUUUAAUUAUAAACUCUGGAGUACCAGAUAUGCAUGUUGGUACUAUAAUGGAAUCUAGAGAUGCAACAUUCUUUGAAAGUGAGUUUCCUAUGAAAAGUACACCUAAUAUUUCUAGUCAUGAGUCUAUAAACUCCCAUGAGCAAUUUAUUCCGAUAGAACAAUCUGAGGAACCCCAUGUUCACUAUCCUGAGGAGGAUGAUAAUGUAGUCACUCGAACGAGCAAAAGACAAAGAAAAGUGAAGUCUUUUGGAGAUGACUAUAUUGUGUACCUCAUGGAUGAUACCCCAACAACCAUUAAAGAGGCAUUUUCCUCUCCUGAUGCUGACUUGUGGAAGGAAGCAAUAAGGAAUGAGAUGGAUUUUAUAAUGUCUAAUGGAACUUGGGGAGUGGUUGAACGACCUUAUGGGUGUAAACCUAUAGGGUGUAAAUGGGUGUUCAAGAAAAAGCUUAGGCCUGAUGGUACAAUUGAGAGGUACAAGGCUAGGCUUGUGGCUAAGGGUUAUACCCAAAGAGAAGGGGAAGAUUUCUUUGAUACUUAUUCACCUGUUGCCCGUUUGACCACAAUUCGAGUGUUAUUGUCUUUGGCUGCCUCUCAUGGUCUUCUCAUUCAUCAAAUGGAUGUGAAGACAGCUUUCCUAAAUGGAGAGUUAGAGGAAGAGAUCUAUAUGGAUCAGCCUGAUGGAUUUGUAACAAGUGGUCAAAAGGGCAAGGUGUGUAAGUUAUUAAAAUCCCUUUAUGGCCUAAAACAAGCUCCAAAACAAUGGCAUGAGAAGUUUGAUAGAACCUUAACUUCUGUCGGCUUUGCUGUUAAUGAAGCUGACAGAUGUGUGUACUAUCGGUUUGGUGGGGGUGAAGGUGUGAUCCUUUGUCUGUACGUGGAUGACAUACUGAUCUUUGGGACAAACCUUGUUGUGAUCAAGGAAGUUAAAGACUUUUUGUCUAAUAACUUUGAGAUGAAAGAUUUGGGAGAAGCUGAUGUUAUUCUAAACAUUAAGCUUUCAAGAGAAGGCAAUGGUGGGAUUACACUUGUGUAGUCCCACUACGUGGAAAAGAUUUUAACUCGCUUUGGGUACAGUGACUGUCAAUCUGCUCCUACGCCUUAUGAUCCUAGUGUGCUAUUGAGAAAAAAUCGAAGAAUAGCAAGGGAUCAACUAAGAUUCUCUCAAAUUAUAGGCUGAUUGAUGUACCUUGCUAGUGCCACGAGGCCUGAUAUCUCGUUUGCAGUGAGCAAACUUAGCCGAUUUCUGUCAAAUCCGGGAGAUAUUCAUUGGCAAGCUCUUGAGAGAGUGAUGCGCUAUCUGAAAGGUACUGUGAGCUAUGACAUUCACUAUACAGGAUACCUGAAGGUAUUAGAGGGUUAUUGUGAUGCAAACUGGAUAUCUGAUGCUGAUGUGUUAAAGGCCACAAGUGGAUAUGUGUUUCUGCUUGGAGGUGGCGCUGUUUCAUGGAAGUCUUGUAAGCAGACUAUCUUAACGAAGUCAACCAUGGAAGCAGAACUCACAGCAUUAGACACCGCCGGUGCUGAGGCCGAGUGGCUUUGUGAACUCCUGAUGGAUCUACCGGUGGUUGAAAAACCUGUGCCGGCUAUUUCCAUAAACUGUGACAAUCAAACAGUGAUCACUAAAGUCAACAGUUCUAAGGACAACAUGAAGUCUACUAGGCAUGUAAAACGGCGUUUGAAGACUGUCAGAAAAUUGAGAAACUCCAAAGUUAUAGCAUUGGACUAUGUUCAUACGUCCAAGAAUCUGGCAGAUCAAUUCACAAAGGGACUAUCACGUAAUGUGAUAGAUAGUGCAUCGAGUGAGAUGGGUUUGAGACCCACGUGAGAUCUACCAUGGUGGCAACCUGUUCUAUGUGAUCGGAGAUCCCGUGAAGUAGAAUGGUGAAACAAGCCAGAAGUAGAUUGUGAGGAAAGACCCUUUUCUUAACUCAUCUCAAUUGCACUUCUUUUCUAAGUCUGUAAGGAAGGCUGGUUAUAUACCUUAAUGUAUUCCAAAGCGGCUUGUGAAGCGAUAGAUGUUGUCCUACAAAACAUCCUUAAGGAAUACACCUAUAUGAGUUUGACUGCUAGUCACAGUCUAUGAGAUUUUGGGUGAUCUCUAGAUACUCAUGAAUGGGCCAGAAGUAUGACUUAUAUGCUUCAACCAGAGGGGAUGUUCAUGCAACCCGGUAUCAGUUAUGAGUGUAGAUGAAACUUAUAUCACACAAAACUUGCAAUUCAAGGCAUAGUCCAUUGUUCAAGUUGUGGCUAAGUGUAGUCUGUACUCUAGGUGGAAGUUCAACUUAACAGUCUCCACCAAAACGACCGGUAUAUGAAACGACAUGGAAACUCGAGAGCUUUUCUUAUGUGCCCUAGAAAUAGGUGGGGAUUGUUGAAUAUAAUGGGCCAUUAGCCCAUAAUUAUAUUUGAUGAUUAAUUCAAGGGCCCAUAAUUAAUGCUAUAACGAAAAUGGUUUAGUACCAUGUGUUAACUCAAAUAGGUGGCCUUUAUUAGCUCCUAUGGAGAAGUUGAGGGAGGGUGAAGGGGUGCCACAC